AUUGAACGCUGGCGGCAGGCCUAACACAUGCAAGUCGAACGGUAACAGGAAGAAGCUUGCUUCUUUGCUGACGAGUGGCGGACGGGUGAGUAAUGUCUGGGAAACUGCCUGAUGGAGGGGGAUAACUACUGGAAACGGUAGCUAAUACCGCAUAACGUCGCAAGCCCAAAGAGGGGGACCUUCGGGCCUCUUGCCAUCGGCUGUGCCCAGAUGGGAUUAGCUAGUAGGUGGGGUAACGGCUCACCUAGGCGACGAUCCCUAGCUGGUCUGAGAGGAUGACCAGCCACACUGGAACUGAGACACGGUCCAGACUCCUACGGGAGGCAGCAGUGGGGAAUAUUGCACAAUGGGCGCAAGCCUGAUGCAGCCAUGCCGCGUGUAUGAAGAAGGCCUUCGGGUUGUAAAGUACUUUCAGCGGGGAGGAAGGGAGUAAAGUUAAUACCUGUGCUCAUUGACGUUACCCGCAGAAGAAGCACCGGCUAACUCCGUG
rnacentral:rRNA from 1 species